UACGUAGGUGACGAGCGUUAUCCGGAAUUACUGGGCGCAAAGCGCACGCAAGCGGUUGGACAAGUCUGGCGUGAAAUCCUCUGGCUUAACCAGGGGCGGUCGCUGGAGACUGUUCGGCUUGAGGCGAUGAGAGGGGUGCAGAAUUCCCGGUGUAGUGGUGGAAUGCGUAGAGAUCGGGAGGAAUACCAGUGGCGAAAGCGGCACCCUGGCGUCGUAUUGACGCACAUGUGCGAAAGCGUGGGGAGCGAACGGG
rnacentral:rRNA from 1 species